rnacentral:misc_RNA from 1 species
UACAGAGGUCCCAAGCGUUGUUCGGAUUCACUGGGCGUAAAGGGUGCGUAGGUGGCUGGGUAAGUUUGAUGUGAAAUCUCCGGGCUCAACUCGGAAAUGGCAUUGAAUACUAUCCAGCUCGAGGCUUGGAGGGGGGACUGGAAUUCUCGGUGUAGCAGUGAAAUGCGUAGAUAUCGAGAGGAACACCAGUGGCGAAGGCGAGUCCCUGGACAAGACCUGACACUGAGGCACGAAAGCUAGGGGAGCAAACAGG